GUGGGGAAUAUUGGACAAUGGGGGGAACCCUGAUCCAGCCAUGCCGCGUGUGUGAAGAAGGCCUUAUGGUUGUAAAGCACUUUAAGCGAGGAGGAGGGUACUGGUAUUAAUACUACCAGGUACUGGACGUUACUCGCAGAAUAAGCACCGGCUAACUCUGUGCCAGCAGCCGCGGUAAUACAGAGGGUGCGAGCGUUAAUCGGAUUUACUGGGCGUAAAGCGUGCGUAGGCGGCUAAUUGAGUCGGAUGUGAAAUCCCCGAGCUUAACUUGGGAAUUGCAUUCGAUACUGGUUAGCUAGAGUGUGGGAGAGGAUGGUAGAAUUCCAGGUGUAGCGGUGAAAUGCGUAGAGAUCUGGAGGAAUACCGAUGGCGAAGGCAGCCAUCUGGCCUAACACUGACGCUGAGGUACGAAAGCAUGGGGAGCAAACAGGA
rnacentral:rRNA from 1 species